UACGUAGGGUGCAAGCGUUGUCCGGAAUUAUUGGGCGUAAAGAGCUCGUAGGCGGUUUGUCGCGUCUGCUGUGAAAACUCGGGGCUUAACCCCGGGCCUGCAGUGGGUACGGGCAGACUAGAGUGCGGUAGGGGAGACUGGAAUUCCUGGUGUAGCGGUGAAAUGCGUAGAUAUCAAGUGGAACACCAGUGGCGAAGGCGAGUCCCUGGACAACUCCUGACACUGAGGCACGAAAGCUAGGGGAGCAAACAGG
rnacentral:rRNA from 1 species